rnacentral:tRNA from 1 species
GAGGCCGAUAGUUUAACUGAUUUCGAUCAGAGGAAAAACGUCUGACUGUCACUCUUGAGUUGUGGGUUCGAAUCCCGCUCGGCCUCA